rnacentral:lncRNA from 1 species
GCUUUCCUUGCCAAGGCUAUGUAUGUGCAGAGGCCCUCUUUGCUUCAUCUAGUUCCUAGAAAUCUUGGACCUUUGUUGGCUUCAGUGUGCCCAUCCCUACCCCUGUCUCCAGGGAUUCUCCUCUGUGUAUCCCCUCUCAUCAUGAGACACCACUGAUGGAGUUUACGGCCCCCUAGCUCAGUCUGACUUCAUUAAUCUUAUGCAAAGCUCCUACUUCAGUUAAGACCACAUUCUAAAGUCCAGGCUGCUUCACUUAGACUUUUUGCUGUGACAGAAUAUCUGAUACAAACACCUUAAAGGAGGAAGACUUCGGGUUCAAAGUCUUCAGAUUGAUCUGUUCAUGGUUGUUUAGCUCUAUAUGUUUGAGCAGGACAGUUUGGCAGUGUCCAAAUGUUGGAAGAGCACCACACUUCACUGUGGGUAGCAAUGCCUGUCUCAUCUCACUUCCCACCACUAGUCCAUUUGGGAUCCCACAACUGUAAGAUGGGGUUCAACCACAUUCAGGGUAGGUCUUCUUGCUCUGAGAACACCUUCAUAGACACACUUAGAGAUAUGCCUUAUUGAUCCCCCAGGUACCUCUUAAUCCAAUCAAGCUGAUAUGGUGAACCAUCACAGGUAGACAUGAAAUUAGGUCAGAUUUCUUAUCCAACUUCUUAGACUCCUUCACACUCUAACUCAAAACACUGAGACCACACAGAGGGCUUUGUUGUCCCUUCCAUAUGGAAAACAUAGCAAGCCAAGGGGCCGAGAACCAAUUCCUCACAGAUAUCCUGCCUUCAGUACUUACCCCACUAAGCUCCCAGCAUCCAGUACUCCCACUGAGUUCCUAGAAGACCUGUAUUAUAGUCCUGCUAUUCCUUUACUGGUUUUGAAAAUGAGUAUCUAGGGCCAGUAGGAUGGUUUCGUGGGUAAAACUACUUGUCACAUAAGCUGAUAAUCUAAGUUUCAUGCCCAUAUCCCACUGUUACUUUUAUAGUGUUGUGAUAAAACACUGAUCAAGGAACUGAUUUUUAAAAAACAUUUAACUGGGGUUAUGGUUCUAGUUCAUGGUGAUGCAGUGAGGCUUUGCAGCAGGAGCAGAUGAGAGAGCACAUCUUGAACCACAGAGGAAACAAAAAGCACACUAGGAAUGGGAGGGGUCUUUUGGAACCUCAAAGUCCACAUCCAGUGACAACUUCCUCCAGCAAAGCCACACCUCCCAAUCCCUACCCCCCCCCACCCCACCCCCCAGAGACAGCCACCAAACAGGAGCCAACCAGUAUUCAAAGCCACAAGACUUAUGGGGGACAUCUCAUUCAAACUACCACACCCACCUAAAAGCCCAGAUGAAAUAGAAGGCCUUUGCAAUCCCAGCACUCCUACAGGAGAGGAGAAGCAGGAAGAAGAUACCCAACCGGAAGCUCUCUGGUCAGGGAGCCUGAAAUACACAGCACAGCAGGCAAGAAAGACCCCGUCUUAAGAGAGAAAAUUGCCUCUUGAAAGUUGUCCUCUGACAUCCAGUGGGCAGCUUUGCACAUGUGCAUGCACACACACACAGUGUGUCUCAUAUACAAAACUAUAACAGCUGACAAACAUCUAUUUGGGCUUUAAGCAGGACAGAACCAGAUGAAAAUGAGAGAUGAUGAUCUUGGAUCACCAGGGUUACACAAAGCUGGGGAAUCUUGAAGAUCAUGGGACCCUCCACACCCAGACUUGAUCCUUCUGGAAGGCAUCAAGGAGGCUGGUAACAGGAAUCCUACUCGUGGCACUAAGUACCAUACACACAUCUCCCAUCAGGCAGAUCCUAUUACUGUCCUCACUGCACAGGUGAGGAAACGGCAGGACUCCAUAGUUGAAUCCUAUGGCAGCUAGUGGGGGAAUCACCUCUCAUUGCUCAUGUUCCUCCCUGACAGUCCUUUCUUCUUACUGCAUUUAUACACAUCUCCCAUUUAAACAAAUACCUCUCUGCCCUCAUUGCCAUCUUUCUCAGCAUCUUCCUAGCUUUCUUCUUUAGAGGCGGCCAUAGACAUGCCAUGUCCAUCUUCCUAAUCUCCAGUUGCCUCCUGAAUGCAUCUGUUUUCCUUCUGGGGCUGGGACUUGUACACGUUAGUGCUCUACUACUGAGCCACUGGCAAACUUCUUGAAUCCAUUAAUCUGUCCUUUAUGCUGUCUCAAAGCUACCUCCUCUCAUCAGGAAUACAAGCUUGUGCCUAGGUUACAUCAGGCUGGUGCCCAUCAGUCGGCCUCAUGGUCUCUGGUGCCUGGGAGAGACAUAUAUAUGCUUUGCCUCAGUCUCUAGGUGUGCGUCCUACCUCCCAGGAGCACCUCUCUCCAGCCCCCUUUAUUUUACUUAUUUAAUUUUGAACUUUUCAUUUUUAUUUACAGGUGUGUGUGUGUGUGUGUGUGUGUGUGUGUGUGUGUGUGUGUAUGUUGCAUGUAUACAGGUAACUAUGGAGGCCAGAAGAGGGUGUCAGGGUGAUAUCUCCGUGGAGCUGGAGUUAUAGGAGGUUUUGAGCUGGAAACUGAACUAGAGUCCUCUACAAAAUGACACUUAACUGCUGAGCCACCUUUCUGGCUUCUUACAUGACCUCUGGUCAGUUAAACUGAGCUCCUAGACCAGCUUGACCACAGGCUGUUUUGGACUUGUAACUGUCCUCUUCUUUCCACUUUAAUGCAAGACUUAUAGACUUUCUACUCUCUGCUAAACCUUCCUGAUGCUUGGGGAUCAUCACCAGACCUGAUCUUUUCUCUUUUCCACUUCUCAAACAUCUUGGAUAGCUAGCUACACUGCUAGACUUGUUUUUCGACCUGGAUAUCCCUCCUAAACUCAGAUUUGGUCUGAAUCAACACUGGAAUACAACGUGCACAUUAAAGUAACACAUCCUAAAACAAGGAUUGGCAAGCUGCCAUCUAACGUAUGCCCGCCUCUGGUUGUAAAUAAAGUUUUUUUUUUAAACCUUC